AAUAUUGUUAAUUUUGUGUAGUGUUUAAGAUUAUAUAAUUAUAUUAUGAUUGUUAAUUAUAGGUUUUUUUCCGUAGCAUACCAUCCCAUGUUAUAAUCCACUCAAACCCGUCACACCAUAUAACCCCGUCCCGUGAAAUUAAACACAAAUUUGUCAUUUUAUUAUAA
rnacentral:sRNA from 1 species